UCGCGCUCCGCGGCCAGAAGUGUGCACAAACUCAUGCACGGAGGUGCUGCUGGCACGGCACGGCACGGAGCAGCCCUGUAGUACUCACUGCUGACCCACUGCACCUUCCCCAGCACAUCCCGCACCGGCACCAGUUCGCAAACUGGUUGUGCUGGGAAGCUGCCUCUGGGGACGGGUGCGGUGCCCCGCAGAGGGUCUCCGAUCGAGGAGCUGUAAAGUUCGCGUGCAAGCAGCACAAGAACUGCUCAAACAAGGCUGAAGAACACGAAAAUCAGGCAGAGAAAAAGAAGCAUGCUUUCCCCUUACCUAUUGCCUCUGCUCAAACGCCGGGCAGUGCCUUUAGGGAGCCCGGGCAUUUGGAGCCACCGGGCAGAGGACUUUGGGCACAUGCACCCAGAGCCCGGCAAAAGCCAUCUUCUCCCUGCCUCUUAGCACGGUGCAAGCCUCCAGCAGCUCAGCUCUCCAGCUGCAAACAUCUCAUUAGACUAAUGCAUUCAGCACAGGCAGAAAACUCGAUUUACCAUAGCUACAGCAAUGAAUUUCCAUUACGAUGACAGCUUCAACCACAUCAUGUCCGGAAAACCAGCCAACCACUGCCUUUUAAAGAACACACACAUUUUACACGCAGAAAACGAGGGCCCGUGUGCCGUGUCUCCUUUCUCUUCCCGGCUAAACGGAGAAAAAAUUGCCAUGUCUGCCUAGUUCAGAGCUCCACGACCCAAAAGAAACCUGCCUGUAUCAUCGUCCCUUUGUCCCGAUCCUGCAGCAAUGUGGCCCGAUACCGAGCUACCGUGAGGGGCAGGACCGGGCGCUCCAGUUUGGGAUAAAUGAGAUGCCAACUGGGGGAGUGGUGCUUGGGACCUUUGUGCCGGCAACCCCAGGAGCACCUGGGUACUGCAGUGCCCACACUCACACAUCUCCACGCACGUACACGGAGCCUGGAGCCCAAAGAUAUAUCUUACAGCAGACUUCCAAUGGACCACAUAUCUGCCUGUCUGGUGCUAGCAGUGAUGCUCAAACCCCAAUGCACCUGCAGAUGCUGCACAAGAAGGUCACGCAUUCACUGCCCUGUUGAUGCAAGUGUUUCCAAAUCUGUCCCCUGCAGAACACAUGCAAUGCUGCAGCAUCACACAAC
rnacentral:lncRNA from 1 species